UCCCUGGUGGCUCAGGUGGUAAAGCAUCUGCCUACAAUGCAGGAGACCCGGGUUUGAUCCCUGGGUCGGGAA
rnacentral:tRNA from 1 species